AAGCUUCCCAUGUAGCUUUAACACUUUCUCCUAAAAAUGUUUCUAAAUAUCUAUACAUUUCUAAUGAUUCCAUAUUAUCUGCUAAUCUAAUAUAAUGGCCUAAUAUUGUAUUCUUCCAUACUUCUAUUAUAUUAUUCCAAGUUUGAGGGUCACGUGCUGUAAUGUUUAAUAUCUGUGGUUUAUGUGAUGUCUGAAAUUUUAUUUUAGGUUCUAAAGGUCUAACUUUUCCUCUAGCUAUAUAAUUUCUUUCUUUAU
rnacentral:lncRNA from 1 species